GGUUUCAUAGUGUAGCGGUAUCACCCAGGACUCUGAAUCCUGUAACCUGAGUUCGAAUCUCAGUGGAACCA
rnacentral:tRNA from 1 species